GGUGUUGUGGCUCAGUGGUAGAGUGCUUGCCUAGCAUGUGUGAGGCACUGGGUUUGAUUCUCAGCACCACAU
rnacentral:tRNA from 1 species